UGAGUCUCAAAGAAUCAUGAAAGAUGGAAACUCACGGCAGCGUGGUUUUGCUGACAGACCAAGGUUAACAUAGACCCCAGAGGAAUCUCUCCCAUCGGACCAGAGUCCCGCAGAACAAUAUUUCUUUGCAAAAAUUUCAUCCUCUGGCAAGACCCAAGACAUUUUGUGUGACCUUAAUAGGAAUUUAAGCUUGCUUUAGCCCACAUCAUUUGUAAUCGUCAGAACGACACGAAUGUGGACAUAUUGAGAUGCAUGGCCCCACUGUGCAUGAAGUCUGAAGGUCGUCAGAAGAGAGGAGGAGUCGAGGACAUCAGGGACACUCCUGUACCUGAAGAGGAUUCUGAUAGAGAUCAAGCAUCAGGUGAGGAGGCGUGGCAUCAUUACAGCCUGAGAAAGGAAUUGGAAACAGUGGCCUGGAGAAAGAGAGGAUAAUGAAUAGGUUGCAGUUCUAAAGAGGCAUCAGAAUGCCAGGCCUGCCGUCUUCAACCCCGUGGUACACCCCAAAAUAAAAGAAAAUGCAUUCUUGGUCUCCCUCCUCCAUUCAUCUGUAUGGCCCUGGACCCUCUCCCUUGGCCUCCACUUGCACUUACAUUCUUGACCUCCUGCUGCAUUGCCCUGACCUUUUGCUUUGCCUCUUAUUUUCUUUAGCCUGCUCUCACCCUUAAGAUCUGAUGACUGAUUUAGCUUCCCUGGCGCCCGGCCACUGUUCCCCUUGGCCGCACUACUUGCCUUCACCCUCAGCUGUUGCAACUCUUGGCCACCCUGAGGAAAGGCCCUGCCAAGCCCCCCUCCCUGACUCGUCCACGUCCACGUGGAGGAGAAGGGUUUCCUGGGGGAGCUCACAUCAAGAGGAUGAAAUCUGGGUGCAGGGGAAGGUGAGCUUUGAGGCUGGCGGGGAGGUGGGGAGGGAGCCAGAGGAAUUUCCCCAGGAGGGUGACUUCAGCCUUCUCUUCAGUCUGAUUCUGUACCAUUCUGGCGUGUUUUGUUUUGUUUUGGUUUGGUUUGGUUUUUACCACGAGGAUGUAUUAUGGAAAAAGCACAACUUUUGUUUUUAAAACAAAAACUGAUAAAUGAGGGGGAAGGAAGUGUGUUCAUUCAUUCAUUCACUCAUGCAUUCAUUCAACAGAUACCUUUUGAGCCCCAGGCGGACCAUGUGCUGGCCACACUGGUGAACAGGCUCCAUCCCUGAUCUCAGGAUGCUUGCCACUGGGCAGGGGAGAUGUGCAGACAUUAAGCAAAUAAUUACUCACCUAUUUACGUCAGUGCAAAAGUUGGGACUCUGGGAGGGUUGGGCCCUGAGUGCUACUGCUUUCACUGAAGGGUAGGAGCCAAGGUCAUUUGCUCAGAAAGGAGACGGAGCUGGGUAGGGGGCUGGAAAGCCUGCUGAAGAUUAGGAAGAAGUGUUGCAGGAAAGGGGUGGGGGGGAACGUGUUAACAAGAGCAGAACUGUGCAUACUUUUUGCUUUGAAGGUUUCCAGAUUCAAGUGCCAGAACUUGAUUUUAAGCUGGCCAUGUGUGUCACAUACUUGCUUUCAAAAAGCAAAUCCCUUUUCUUUAGACUCUGUUAGUCAUCGUUCUCUUUUUAACAUGGCCAGCAACGAUCUCCUUUUGCAGAAAUAUCUUCUCUUCACAGUGACCGUACUAAUAGCCAAUCCGGGUCUGCAGGACCGCUAAGUGACAGGAUAGAUUUUUAGAUUAAAAACAACACAACUGUGUCCUCAUUAGAUUCUCGAGAGUCCUUCAUCUCUCCCCACUGGGCUUUGGCAAACUCGGAACCGUUGGCUUCCCAGGGCAUUGGCACCUGCUUAAGCCUCAAAAGUAUAUUACCAAUAAAUUGACUCCAGCUUUACCUAGCAUAUUUAAACAAUAACAGCUUAAUUAUAUUCUUGCAAAUUAUAGGGCCCCACAACAUAUUUUUCAUCUAUUGUGCACCUUUCUUCGUAUCAUUCACUAUUUUAUAAGAAUAUAUUUUCCGAAUAUUAAAGAAGAGAGUUAGCAAUAAAACCGGCAUCUCCUAGGUUUUUCUCUUGCUGGAAGCAGUGCUUUAUUUAAUUUACCCACAGGCUUUAUCUUCUAUGUAGUGAUUUCCAAAUGUAUUUCGAAUUUGCUAGUGAGUGGUGUACAAAAAUCAGGGUGUCUUCAGAUAUUAAGGGAUAACAAAACAGAGUAUGACAAAGAGAAGUAUCUCACUAAUAGUUUCUAGAUAACUGGUUCAUUUGUUUUGUAUGUACCUUGCCUGCCUCCCUCCAUUCAUUUUUUUGUGCUGCCCCGGAUAGAUAUCUCCUGUAAAAACAAUCUAUUAUGAGCUGUAAGGAGGGAGACAAGGAGAGACAAGAUAUGUCACUGAAUUUUAAAAAAUAUCUGUAUGUGUUUCACCUAAUAGGCAAAUAAUACAUGUUUAUUACAUUGAAUUGAAUUGAACCAGGAUCAAGGCAUGUGGCUUACAGCUGAAAUUCGGUUGCUUAUGGUAUCCGGUCGGAUCAAUAGUACUCGGGGAGGAAAGAGAAAGGAAGGAGGCACAAUAUGAAACAAAGUGAGAAAACAAAAGCAAAGUGAAGAGCAAACAAUUACAAAGAUGGAUAUUAGUACAUAUCUACAUUAGGUAUACUGUUACAUACGUUUAUAUGUAUAUAUGCUCCUACACCUAUGUGUAUAUGUGUAGCAGUCUCCACAUGUGUGUGCAGCAAUAAUAACAUUACAGGGUCAAAUGUUAAUAAGUAAGAAAUUGGGGGGUGCCUGGAUGGCUUAGUCUGUUAAGCCUCCAACUUCGGCUGAGGUCAUGAUCUCAUGGCUCAAGUCAUGAUCUCACAGUACGUGGGUUCAAGCUCCGCCUUGGGCUCUGUGCUGACAGCUCAGAGCCUGGAGCCUGCUUCAGAUUCUGUCUCCUUCUCUCUGCCUCUCCCCUGC